rnacentral:rRNA from 1 species
GAUGAACGCUGGCGGCGUGCUUAACACAUGCAAGUCGAACGGGAAACCUUUUACUGAAGCUUCGGCAGAUUUAGCUGGUUUCUAGUGGCGGACGGGUGAGUAACGCGUGGGUAACCUGCCUUAUACAGGGGGAUAACAGUCAGAAAUGGCUGCUAAUACCGCAUAAGCGCACAGAGCUGCAUGGCUCAGUGUGAAAAACUCCGGUGGUAUAAGAUGGACCCGCGUUGGAUUAGCUGGUUGGUGGGGUAACGGCCCACCAAGGCGACGAUCCAUAGCCGGCCUGAGAGGGUGAACGGCCACAUUGGGACUGAGACACGGCCCAGACUCCUACGGGAGGCAGCAGUGGGGAAUAUUGCACAAUGGGGGAAACCCUGAUGCAGCGACGCCGCGUGAAGGAAGAAGUAUCUCGGUAUGUAAACUUCUAUCAGCAGGGAAGGUAAUGACGGUACCUGACUAAGAAGCCCCGGCUAACUACGU